CAACUCAAAAAGAAUCGGAUUCUGGAAAGCUUACCUUGUUAAAAGCAUCAAGAAAAGGCAGAAAAAAGAAGUGCGGAUUAUGUGGAAGAUUAGGGAAUAAUAGUAGAAUAUGCCUUAUUCUUAUGGGAAGCAGCCACUCUGAAGUUCAACAACAACAAUUCCAUCAGCGAUUCGAAAGGGAAGGCCCUUCUCCACCUAGUAAUGCAACAGAAGUAACAGAAGUUUCAAGCACCAUUAUUGAGAGUGCAACAUCAAUGUAGUCCAGUUCCUCUUUUGUAACUGAACAAAUUGUCAAUCAACUUAACUAGCCCAGGGUACCUCAACAACAAUUGAAGAGUUCUGCAUUCAUUUUAGAAGAAAUGGGUGAGCAUUCCAGAGAAGAUACAAGGCCACUCUUCCUCGAGAGAAUCGGAAAACAAUACGUACCACAGUCAAGAUUACAAGAAGAUCUUUCUCAAAGUAGCAAGAGAGUUGGAAGUGUCCCACGGGCCAAAAGGAAUAAUUAUCCUUAAAUAAAGUUAAAGACAAAGACAAUCAAUGACAAUACGUACAUGAUUUUAGAUCUAGUUCUUUCCUGAUGACUUUGAAGUUAAUCAUGUUCUAGUGACAUGUAAAUGAUUGUGUUUUCUCUUUUAAAACAAUAUGCAGCUUAAAUAGUUAUCUU